rnacentral:lncRNA from 1 species
ACACUUUUCAGGUGGCAAAGUUCCUUUCACUACACACUAUAAAAGACUUUCCAGGCAGAGCUCCGACGUGCUGUAUGACUUUGGACAAGACACAUACCCUCUCUGGGCCUCAGAGAUGCAUGAGAGACCAAAGCAGGCCAGGGGUGAGGCUCAGACCCAGAGAGUGAGUCGCUGAAGGCCACAUGGAUGCCCUGUGUUCCAACUCCCAGCCUGGGUCCGCAGCAACCAGCUGUGCCCCCAGCCCACGGCCCGCCCACCAGGACAGGUGCCGUGGGCCCUCUCCCUGCCAGGCCAGGCAGCCGCAGGGGGACCAGAGCGGGUGGCUCAGCCUGUGCAGGCUCCAGAACCUGUUGCCAUGGCAACCCGGGGUCCAGGCCUGCCCUGCUCGGAGGAUGAGCCUGAAGCUGAGAUUUCCUUGGGCACAGGGAGAGGACCAGAGAUGCUCAGAGCGAGGCUCCUGCUCUGCUUCCUCUGCCCAGCUCAGGGAGGGCCUUGGGAAUGAAGCCCCCGCCCCCACCCCGCCCCAUGUUCCAGGUGAGUACCCCCAGGCUCUGAGCUGGGAAGAGGCCUAUCUGAGGCCACACACGGGGCAGCAGCUUCAUCCGCCCUCCAGGGUCUGCCCACCGAGCUCCCCAGGCGCCCGCUCUUCCCCUGCAGCCCCACUGCCCUGCCCGGGGUGGCGGCCCGAGGCUGUUCGCUGCUCCCCUGGAUUUCACAUCAUGACUCAUGUUAUCAUGUUCUCAGGAGCUGAGUAA